rnacentral:lncRNA from 1 species
UGAGAAGUAAAAAAAAUAAUUAUACGUAAAAUAAUUAAAAUAAAAAUUGUAUAAUUUAGAGAGAGAGUAAAAUUACAAAAGAUUAUGUAUAUAUAAAUUAUAUUAGUUCUAAAAUUUAAUUUGAUGUUUUGGACUAAGCCUAAAAUUUAAUUAAAGUUUUGGAGUGAGGCUAAACCCACUUUAACCCUGACCCUAACCCACUUGAGAGGGGGUUUUGGGGGUUGGGGCUUUUUUCUGGCCCCCUACUUAAGGGGCUUCUUAAAAUAGGGCUUUUUCAAUAGUGGGUUGGGGCUGGCCCUGGGGCCAUGGGUUAAAUUGACACCUCUAAUUAAGACCCACACUAAUUUUAUAAUUUAUUAUUUUUUAUUUUAUAUUCUCUCUUUUUCCUUUUUAAGUCCCAGUACCUCCAACUCUUUCUCUUCUCUCUCUUUUCACUUUAAUUCUCACGUCACACACCCUACAUAUCUCUUCAUCUCUUUCUUCUUUUUAAAUUAAAUUCACUUUCUUUACUCCUUUGCAUAAGUUGUACUUCCUCUCCUACCAGACUUUGCAUGCAAUCCUCACGUACCAAAAUCUCUCCCUACUUCAAUCCUCGUUCUCUUUUCCUCCCAAUUGGUCCAUACCAUUAAAAAAGACAUCAAACUAAAACUUCACCUUACAUACUUGACUUUUCUAUAACGCCACUAACUCUAAUUUUGAAUCUACCCUUAAACCUCUACAACCCAUUUCUUGUAUACACUUACAAUUAAAUAAACUCCCCUUCUAGAACGUAAACAACACCCCAUUUCCCGUAUGCACUCCUCAUUGUUUCCUCUAAACCACAGUACAACUCAAUUCUGUUCUUUAUUUUCUCCAUGACAUUCCCAUAUAGGCAAGCCACAUAAUGCAAAGUUUCCUUUUAUUUUCAUUACAUCUACAACAUCCAGAAACCAAUUAAAUACUCUUUCUAACUCUUCCCUUUCUCUUUCUGUUUCUUUUCAUUUACUUUUUACUGUACUAACAUUAUUUUGAAUUCUUCUUCACCAACCCAUCUCCUAACACCAUAUUACUCAUCCCUCAUUACCUUAUAUAGCUUUUGCAUGCUUAUAUUCUCAUUCGCACAGUGACUUCUCUCCAAAAUCUUCUUAUUUUACUAUUAUUACAGCUUCACUUUAUACUUUUCAUUCCUAACCGGCCCCACUCCCAUUCCACCCUCUCAUUACUGCUGCGGGACCUACAACCAUUACCUACUCAUCUAGAAACACACCCUUAUACGCACAACUUAGAGAGAGCUAAAGAAAACUCCAACCUGCACCAAAUUCUCUCAACCUAAACCAAAUUGUUUGAUCUUUGCACACAGUCUAGCAUGAGACCCACCACUUUUAUACUUAACCAAACUCCCUCGAAUAUUAACCAUACCUAUACCCAUUCUCUUCAAAAGAAAAUGAAACCCACACUCCAACAGAAUAAGUUUCUUCCCCUCUAUGCUUACGACGUUCACGCACCUCUAAAUCACCAUCCAAAGCUCUCCUCUCAUAACCGUGACCAACAUCUACCCAACAAUUCUCACACACAUUCUUUUCCUCUACAACCCAAUUUGACACCCAACAAUUGGACCCCUGCUAAAGAAAAAGGCCAUGUAGGGUGCUGGUUUGGUUUUUAACACUGUUGUUCCUG